rnacentral:sRNA from 1 species
UUUUAAUAGCCUCUCUUUCUGAAAUCCAACAUGAAUUUUAUAACUUUUCCAUUUACCCACCUCAAAACAACUAUCAUGUCCCAUUAAUAACAUUACAAAAGUGAUAUUCAUGUAACUGUUUUUAGCAUUUAGAAAUAUAUGUAGCAUCUUCUCAUAGAAGCACUUUUUCUGUUUUUACUUGUGUUAGGAUUAAACCUACAGAUACUGCAUGGGAUUGGUUGUUUUGAAACCUCUGUAAUUAUUUUCUCCUUUACAUAUUUUCAGAACCAUGUGCAGAGGAGAAAAUUCCAUCCUUGGACAGUUAAAAGCAGAGCUUGGUAAUCAGUGGAUAAAUUACAUAUCAUUCUGUGGUCUUAGAACACAUGCAGAGCUUGAAGGAAACCUAGUCACUGAGCUUAUCUAUGUCCACAGCAAGUUGUUAAUUGCUGAUGAUAACACUGUUAUUAUUGGCUCUGCCAACAUAAAUGACCGCAGCAUGCUGGGAAAGCGUGACAGUGAAAUGGCUGUCAUCGUGCAAGAUACAGAGACUGUUCCUUCAGUAAUGGAUGGAGAAGAGUACCAAGCUGGCCGGUUUG